GAUGAACGCUGGCGGCGUGCCUAACACAUGCAAGUCGAACGUUAGGACAUAGCAAUAUGUCCAGAAGUGGCGAACGGGUGAGUAACACGUAGGUAACCUGCCGCGCAGAGGGGGAUAACGACUGGAAACGGUCGCUAAUACCGCAUGGUACCCGAAGGACGGGAGUUCUUCUGGUUAAAACCUUGGUGCUGCGCGAGGGG
rnacentral:rRNA from 1 species